rnacentral:rRNA from 1 species
UACGUAGGGGGCAAGCGUUGUCCGGAUUUAUUGGGCGUAAAGAGCGUGUAGGCGGUUAGGUAGGUCCGUUGUGAAAACUCGAGGCUCAACCUCGAGACGCCGAUGGAAACCAUCUAACUAGAGUCCGGAAGAGGAGAGUGGAAUUCCUGGUGUAGAGGUGAAAUUCGUAGAUAUUGGGAAGAACACCGGUGGCGAAGGCGGCUCUCUGGACCGUAACUGACGCUGAGGCGCGAAAGCGUGGGGAGCAAACAGG